rnacentral:rRNA from 1 species
UACGUAGGGGGCAAGCGUUGUCCGGAAUCAUUGGGCGUAAAGCGCGCGUAGGCGGCCCUGUAAGUCCGCUGUAAAAGUCAAAGGCUCAACCUUUGAAAGCCGGUGGAUACUGCAGGGCUAGAGUCCGGAAGAGGCGAGUGGAAUUCCUGGUGUAGCGGUGGAAUGCGCAGAUAUCAGGAGGAACACCAAUAGCGAAGGCAGCUCGCUGGGACGUGACUGACGCUGAGACGCGAAAGCGUGGGGAGCAAACAGG